rnacentral:rRNA from 1 species
CCUACGGGGGGCUGCAGUGAGGAAUAUUGCACAAUGGGGGCAACCCUGAUGCAGCAACGCCGCGUGGAGGAUGAAGGCCUUCGGGUCGUAAACUCCUUUUCUGGGGGAAGAGGAAGGACGGUACCCCAGGAAUAAGUCACGGCUAACUACGUGCCAGCAGCCGCGGUAAUACGUAGGUGGCAAGCGUUAUCCGGAAUUACUGGGCGUAAAGCGCGCGCAGGCGGCCGAAUAAGUCUGACGUGAAAGCUCCUGGCUUAACUGGGAGAGGUCGUUGGAAACUGUUUGGCUUGAGGCAGUGAGAGGGGUGCAGAAUUCCCGGUGUAGUGGUGGAAUGCGUAGAUAUCGGGAGGAAUACCAGUGGCGAAAGCGGCACCCUGGCACUGAACUGACGCUCAUGUGCGAAAGCGUGGGUAGCGAACGGGCUUAGAUACCCCAGUAGUC